ACCUUUGUGGCGUAGUGGUUAGCACGCUGGACGCGUACUCCAGAGGUCCGUGGUUCGAUUCCCGGCGAGGACA
rnacentral:tRNA from 1 species